rnacentral:rRNA from 1 species
UACGAAGGGGGCUAGCGUUGCUCGGAAUCACUGGGCGUAAAGGGUGCGUAGGCGGGUCUUUAAGUCAGGGGUGAAAUCCUGGAGCUCAACUCCAGAACUGCCUUUGGUACUGAGGAUCUUGAGUACGGGAGAGGUGAGUGGAACUGCGAGUGUAGAGGUGAAAUUCGUAGAUAUUCGCAAGAACACCAGUGGCGAAGGCGGCUCACUGGCCCGUAACUGACGCUGAGGCACGAAAGCGUGGGGAGCAAACAGG